rnacentral:rRNA from 1 species
UACGUAAGUGGCGAGCGUUAUCCGGAAUUACUGGGCGUAAAGCGUGCGUAGGCGGUUUAGUGUGUGGGAAUUGAAAGCCCGGGGCUCAACUCCGGAUCCGGUUCCCAAACUGCUAGACUUGAGCGUAUCAGAGGACAGCGGAAUUCCCGGUGUAGCGGUAAUAUGCGUAGAUAUCGGGAGGAACACCAGUGGCGAAGGCGGCUGUCUGGGCCAUUACUGACGCUGAGGAGCGAAAGCGUGGGGAGCGAACAGG